rnacentral:rRNA from 1 species
UACAGGGGGUGCAAACGUUGCUCGGAAUUAUUGGGCGUAAAGCGCGCGCAGGCGGUUUUUCAAGUCAGUGGUGAAAGCCCGGAGCUCAACUCCGGAACUGCCAUUGAAACUGUAAAACUUGAGGACGAGAGAGGUGAGUGGAAUUCCCAGUGUAGAGGUGAAAUUCGUAGAUAUCUGAAGGAACAUCAGUGGCGAAAGCGACUGUCUGGACCAAUACUGACGCUCAUGUGCGAAAGCGUGGGGAGCAAACAGG